rnacentral:rRNA from 1 species
CACGUGCAAAGGUAGCAUAAUCAAUUGUCCUUUAAUUGUGGACUAGAAUGAAUGGAUAAAUAAAACUUAACUAUUCAAUUUUUACAAAUAUAAAUUUACCUUUAGAUGAAAAGGUCUAAAUAUAAAUAAAAGACCAGAAGACCCUAAAGAGCUUUUUCUUAAAAUAAUAUAUUUAUUAUAAAUAAGAUUUGGUUGGGGCAACCUAGGAUAAAUCUUCCUAUCUAAAUAAUGAAAUAUAAUUUAUUUCUUCAAUAAUAAAAUAUAAGCUACCUUAGGGAUAACAGGCUAAUCUUAUUUUAUAGUUCACAUACACAAUAUGGUUUAGCACCUCGAUGUUGGCUUGAGGUAUCUUUUGA